rnacentral:rRNA from 1 species
GUGUCAGCAGCCGCGGUAAUACAGAGGUGGCAAGCGUUGUUCGGAAUUACUGGGCGUAAAGCGCGUGUAGGCGGCUCUUCAAGUCAGGCGUGAAAGCCCCGGGCUCAACUCGGGAACUGCGCUUGAUACUGUCGAGCUAGAGUGUGGAAGGGGCGAUUGGAAUUCCGUGUGUAGCGGUGAAAUGCGUAGAUAUACGGAGGAACACCAGAGGCGAAGGCGGAUCGCUGGGCCAACACUGACGCUGAGACGCGAAAGCUAGGGUAGCAAACGGGAUUAGAUACCCCCGUAGUCC